rnacentral:rRNA from 1 species
UACGUAGGGGGCAAGCGUUGUCCGGAUUUACUGGGCGUAAAGAGCGCGCAGGCGGUCAAGUCAGUCGAAUGUGAAAGCCCCCGGCUCAACUGGGGAGGGUCAUUCGAUACUGCUCGACUUGAAGGCAGGAGAGGGAAGUGGAAUUCCCGGUGUAGUGGUGAAAUGCGUAGAUAUCGGGAGGAACACCAGUGGCGAAGGCGACUUUCUGGCCUGUUCUUGACGCUGAGGCGCGAAAGCUAGGGGAGCAAACGGG